rnacentral:rRNA from 1 species
UACGAGGGGGGCGAGCGUUGUUCGGAAUUAUUGGGCGUAAAGGGUGCGUAGGCGGUUUGGUAAGUCUUAUGUGAAAUCUACAGGCUCAACUUGUAGUCUGCAUGAGAAACUGCCGGGCUUGAGUAUGGGAGAGGUGAGUGGAAUUCCUGGUGUAGCGGUGAAAUGCGUAGAUAUCAGGAGGAACACCUGUGGCGAAAGCGGCUCACUGGACCAUAACUGACGCUGAUGCACGAAAGCGUGGGUAGCGAACAGG